rnacentral:piRNA from 1 species
AUCCAGCUGCCCUUAUACUCGUGUGUGAGA